GCCUGGGUGGCUCAGUCGGUUGAGCGUCUGACUUUGGCUCAGGGCAUGAUCUCACAGCUCGUGAGUUCGAGUCCUGCGUCGGGCU
rnacentral:tRNA from 1 species